rnacentral:rRNA from 1 species
AUUGAACGCUGGCGGCAGGCCUAACACAUGCAAGUCGAGCGAGCGGCGGACGGGUGAGUAAUGUCUGGGAAACUGCCUGAUGGAGGGGGAUAACUACUGGAAACGGUAGCUAAUACCGCAUACCAUUACAUGUGCCCAGAUGGGUUUAGCUAUUGGGUGGGGUAACGGCUCACCUAGGCGACGAUCCCUGUCUGGUCUGAGAGGAUGACCAGCCAGACUGGAACAGAGACACGGUCCAGACUCCUACGGGAGGCAGCAGUGGAGAAUAUUGAAAAAUGGGCGCAAGCCUGAUGCAGCCAAGCCGCGUGUGUGAAGAAGGCCUUAGGGUUGUAAAGCACUUUCAGCGGGGAGGCGUUACCCGCAGAAGAAGCACCGGAUAACUCCGUGCCAGACGCCGCGGUAAUAC